GGUUACUGCUAUCGGUGUUCGCCUAAGCCAUGCGAGUCAUAUGUAGCAAUACAUGGCGUACUGCUCAGUAACACGUGGAUAACCUGCCCUUGGGUCCGGCAUAACCCCGGGAAACUGGGGAUAAUUCCGGAUAACGCAUAUAUGCUGGAAUGCUUUCUGCGUAAAAUGGAUUCGUCUGCCCAAGGAUGGGUCUGCGGCCUAUCAGGUAGUAGUGGGUGUAAUGUACCUACUAGCCUACGACGGGUACGGGUUGUGAGAGCAAGAGCCCGGAGAUGGAUUCUGAGACAUGAAUCCAGGCCCUACGGGGCGCAGCAGGCGCGAAAACUUUACAAUGCGGGAAACCGUGAUAAGGGGACACCGAGUGCCAGCAUCCUAUGCUGGCUGUCCGGGUGUGUAAAAUACACCUGUCAGCAAGGGCCGGGCAAGACCGGUGCCAGCCGCCGCGGUAACACCGGCGGCCCGAGUGGUGAUCGUGAUUAUUGGGUCUAAAGGGUCCGUAGCCGGUUUGGUCAGUCCUCCGGGAAAUCUGACAGCUCAACUGUUAGGCUUUCGGAGGAUACUGCCAGACUUGGAACCGGGAGAGGUAAGAGGUACUACAGGGGUAGGAGUGAAAUCUUGUAAUCCCUGUGGGACCACCUGUGGCGAAGGCGUCUUACCAGAACGGGUUCGACGGUGAGGGACGAAAGCUGGGGGCACGAACCGGAUUAGAUACCCGGGUAGUCCCAGCCGUAAACGAUGCUCGCUAGGUGUCAGGCAUGGCGCGACCGUGUCUGGUGCCGCAGGGAAGCCGUGAAGCGAGCCACCUGGGAAGUACGGCCGCAAGGCUGAAACUUAA
rnacentral:rRNA from 1 species